UACGUAGGGGGCGAGCGUUGUCCGGAAUCAUUGGGCGUAAAGCGCGUGUAGGCGGCCCGGUAAGUCCGCUGUGAAAGUCCAGGGCUCAACCCUGGGAGGCGGGUGGAUACUACUGGACUAGAGUACGGAAGAGGAGAUUGGAAUUCCUGGUGUAGCGGUGAAAUGCGCAGAUAUCAGGAGGAACACCAACAGCGAAGGCAGAUCUCUGGGACGUACUGAACUCUGGAGACGCGAAAGCGUGGGGAGCAAACAGG
rnacentral:rRNA from 1 species